rnacentral:rRNA from 1 species
ACGAACCGUACGAACGUUAUUCGGAAUCACUGGGCUUAAAGAGUACGUAGGCGGCCGCGCAAGUUGGGUGUGAAAUCCCUCGGCUCAACCGAGGAACUGCGCUCAAAACUGCGUGGCUUGAGGAAGACAGGGGUGAGUGGAACUAAUGGUGGAGCGGUGAAAUGCGUUGAUAUCAUUAGGAACACCAGUGGCGAAGGCGACUCACUGGGUCUUUUCUGACGCUGAGGUACGAAAGCCAGGGGAGCGAACGG